AGAGCGAACGCUGGCGGCAGGCCUAAUACAUGCAAGUCGAACGAGCCCUUCGGGGUUAGUGGCGGACGGGUGAGUAACACGUGGGAACGUGCCCUUUGGUUCGGAACAACUCAGGGAAACUUGAGCUAAUACCGAAUGUGCCCUUCGGGGGAAAGAUUUAUCGCCAUUGGAGCGGCCCGCGUCUGAUUAGCUAGUUGGUGGGGUAAAGGCCCACCAAGGCUUCGAUCAGUAGCUGGUCUGAGAGGAUGAUCAGCCACACUGGGACUGAGACACGGCCCAGACUCCUACGGGAGGCAGCAGUAGGGAAUCUUGCGCAAUGGGCGAAAGCCUGACGCAGCCAUGCCGCGUGAAUGAUGAAGGUCUUAGGAUUUGGUAAAAUUCUUUCAGCGGGGACGAUAAUGACGGUACCCGCAGGAAGAAGCCCCGGCUAACGUUCGUGCCAGCAGCCGC
rnacentral:rRNA from 1 species